rnacentral:rRNA from 1 species
GAUGAACGCUGGCGGCGUGCCUAAUACAUGCAAGUCGAGCGAACGGACGAGAAGCUUGCUUCUCUGAUGUUAGCGGCGGACGGGUGAGUAACACGUGGAUAACCUACCUAUAAGACUGGGAUAACUUCGGGAAACCGGAGCUAAUACCGGAUAAUAUUUUGAACCGCAUGGUUCAAAAGUGAAAGACGGUCUUGCUGUCACUUAUAGAUGGAUCCGCGCUGCAUUAGCUAGUUGGUAAGGUAACGGCUUACCAAGGCAACGAUGCAUAGCCGACCUGAGAGGGUGAUCGGCCACACUGGAACUGAGACACGGUCCAGACUCCUACGGGAGGCAGCAGUAGGGAAUCUUCCGCAAUGGGCGAAAGCCUGACGGAGCAACGCCGCGUGAGUGAUGAAGGUCUUCGGAUCGUAAAACUCUGUUAUUAGGGAAGAACACAUGUGUAAGUAACUGUGCACAUCUUGACGGUACCUAAUCAGAAAGCCACGGCUAACUACGUGCCAGCAGCCGCGGUAAUACGUAGGUGGCAAGCGUUAUCCGGAAUUAUUGGGCGUAAAGCGCGCGUAGGCGGUUUUUUAAGUCUGAUGUGAAAGCCCACGGCUCAACCGUGGAGGGUCAUUGGAAACUGGAAAACUUGAGUGCAGAAGAGGAAAGUGGAAUUCCAUGUGUAGCGGUGAAAUGCGCAGAGAUAUGGAGGAACACCAGUGGCGAAGGCGACUUUCUGGUCUGUAACUGACGCUGAUGUGCGAAAGCGUGGGGAUCAAACAGGAUUAGAUACCCUGGUAGUCCACGCCGUAAACGAUGAGUGCUAAGUGUUAGGGGGUUUCCGCCCCUUAGUGCUGCAGCUAACGCAUUAAGCACUCCGCCUGGGGAGUACGACCGCAAGGUUGAAACUCAAAGGAAUUGACGGGGACCCGCACAAGCGGUGGAGCAUGUGGUUUAAUUCGAAGCAACGCGAAGAACCUUACCAAAUCUUGACAUCCUUUGACAACUCUAGAGAUAGAGCCUUCCCCUUCGGGGGACAAAGUGACAGGUGGUGCAUGGUUGUCGUCAGCUCGUGUCGUGAGAUGUUGGGUUAAGUCCCGCAACGAGCGCAACCCUUAAGCUUAGUUGCCAUCAUUAAGUUGGGCACUCUAAGUUGACUGCCGGUGACAAACCGGAGGAAGGUGGGGAUGACGUCAAAUCAUCAUGCCCCUUAUGAUUUGGGCUACACACGUGCUACAAUGGACAAUACAAAGGGCUGCGAAACCGCGAGGUCAAGCAAAUCCCAUAAAGUUGUUCUCAGUUCGGAUUGUAGUCUGCAACUCGACUACAUGAAGCUGGAAUCGCUAGUAAUCGUAGAUCAGCAUGCUACGGUGAAUACGUUCCCGGGUCU